UACGUAGGGGGCUAGCGUUGUCCGGAAUCAUUGGGCGUAAAGAGCGUGUAGGCGGCUUGGUAAGUCUGCUCUGAAAGCCCGGGGCUCAACCCCGGGAGGCGGGUGGAUACUGUCAAGCUCGAGUCCGGAAGAGGAGUGUGGAAUUCCUGGUGUAGCGGUGAAAUGCGCAGAUAUCAGGAGGAACACCAAUUGCGAAGGCAGCUCGCUGGAACGUUACUGACGCUGAGACGCGAAAGCGUGGGGAGCGAACAGG
rnacentral:rRNA from 1 species